rnacentral:misc_RNA from 1 species
GAAAUGCGAUAAGUAAUGUGAAUUGCAGAAUUCAGUGAAUCAUCGAAUCUUUGAACGCACCUUGCGCUCCUUGGUAUUCCUUGGAGCAUGCCUGUUUGAGUAUCAUGAAAUCUUCAAAGUAAAUCUUUUGUUAACUCAAUUGGUUUCUACUUUGGUAUUGGAGGUCUUUGCAGCUUCACACCUGCUCCUCUUUGUUCAUUAGCUGGAUCUCAGUGUUAUGCUUGGUUCCACUCGGCGUGAUAAGUUAUCUAUCGCUGAGGACACUGUAAAAGGUGGCCAAGGUAUAUGCAGAUGAACCGCUUCUAAUAGUCCAUUGACUUGGACAAUACUUUUAUGAUCUGAUCUCAAAUCAGGCAGGACUACCCGCUGAACUUAAGC